AGUGAACGCUGGCGGCGUGCUUAACACAUGCAAGUCGAACGAGAACGGAAUAUAGCUUGCUAUAUUUGUCAGCUAAGUGGCGCACGGGUGAGUAAUGUAUAGAUAACCUGCCCUUAAGAAAGGAAUAACAGUUGUAAACGACUGCUAAUGCCCUAUAUGCCUUUAAUACAUAAGUAUGCAAGGGAAACGCUUUAGUGCUUAAGGAUGGGUCUGUAUGGUAUCAGCUUGUUGGUGAGGUAAUGGCUCACCAAGGCUAUGACGCCUAACUGGUUUGAGAGGAUGAUCAGUCACACUGGAACUGAGACACGGUCCAGACUCCUAAGGGAGGCAGCAGUGGGGAAUAUUGCACAAUGGACGAAAGUCUGAUGCAGCAACGCCGCGUGGAGGAUGACACAUUUCGGUGCGUAAACUCCUUUUAUAUAGGAAGAUAAUGACGGUACUAUAUGAAUAAGCACCGGCUAACUCCGUGCCAGCCGCCGCAGUAA
rnacentral:rRNA from 1 species